AGUCCCUGUCAGGAUACAGCAAGGUCAUGAGGGCCCCUGCUCAGCUCCUGGGUCUCCUGCUGCUCUGCCUCCCAGGUAAGGAGGGACAGCACUGGGGAUGUACUAAUCACAAUGUGGUCAGUGCUGCCUGGCUACACAGGAAAGUCCUCUUGCAACAUCACUACUUACAAGGAUAUUUCUUUUUAUGUUUCCAAUGGCAGGUGUCAGAUGUGAUAUCACAAUGACCCAGUCUCCAUCCUCCUUGCCUGUGUCUCGUGGAGACAGAGUCACCAUCACCUGUAGGGCCAGUCAGGGCAUUAGCAGUUAUUUAAACUGGUAUCAGCAGAAACCAGGGCAAGCUCUUAAGCUCCUAAUCUAUGGUGCAAACAGUUUGCAAUCUGGGGUCCCCUCGAGGUUCACUGGCAGUGGACGUGGGACAGAUUUCUCUCUCACCAUCAGCAGCCUGGAGACUGAAGAUGUUGGCACUUAUUACUGUCAACAAGGAAGCAGUUUCCCUCCCACAGUGACACAGGCCAUGACAAAAACCUCCCAGG
rnacentral:lncRNA from 1 species